rnacentral:rRNA from 1 species
AAACUAGGAUUAGAUACCCUAUUAUUUAUAAAAAUUUUAUAAUAGUAUAAUUUGAAAUUUAAUAAUUUUGGCGGUUAUUUAUUUAUUAGAGGAGCUUGUUUUGUUAAUUAGAAUUUAUUCUUUAUAUUUAGUUUAAUUAUGUUUAUACAUCUCCGUUAUUAAAUUUGGAUACUUAUGAAAAAAUAUUUUUGGAUUUCAGGUCAAGAUGUAGCAUAUUUAAAAAUGAAGAAUUAGCUACAAUUAUGAAAUAAAUGGAAUUUUAAGAUAAGUAUAUAAAAAAGAAAUUGAAUUUAAUUGUAAUAAUUAAAUUAGAAAGUUAUUAUGGAAUUAAUAUAUUUAAUGUACAUAUUGCCCGUCGUUUCUAUCUUUAGGUAGAAUAAGUCGUAACAAA